rnacentral:rRNA from 1 species
AGCCAAGCCGGGAAGGGAUAAACGCUGAAGGCAUCUAAGCGUGAAGCCCCCCUCAAGAUGAGAUAUCCCAUAACGUCAAGUUAGUAAGACCCCUUGAAGACGACGAGGUAGAUAGGGCAGAGGUGGAAGUGUGGUAACACAUGGAGCUGACUGUUACUAAUAGGUCGAGGGCAUAACCAA